GGAUUUCCAUAAACUUGAGGGACUAGACUCAAAAAAAUGGGGUUUCUUUUGUAAUUUACUGAAAAUAGGGGACUGAAAGUGAGAUAAUGGAAAAAUGGGAGGGUUUGAUGGAUAUUCAUCAAACCCUAUACCUAAAUCAUGCGCCUCUCCACUCCUUUGACUGAUUCCCCACGCCUCUUUCUCCCUUUGACUGAAAUCAUGCGCCUCUUUCUCUCCCUUGGUUCCGCCUUGCUGAUAUCUCUCGGUUCCUCGGCCAUUAAUGUCGGCAGUCGCCGAGCUGCUGCUUCCUCGGCCAUCUCGGCCAUCUACGCCGGCAGCCUCGCCGCUAGCCGGGUUGCCGGUCGCGUUUUCUCCCCCUCCUCUCUCGGAAUUCUCGGCUCUACCCACUGCUACUGCCGAUCCGGCGGUCUUUCGGCCAUCAAUGCCGGCCGCCGCCUUCCCUUUUGCUUCCCACCAUUCGGGGUAGCCUAUGAGUCGAAAACAUCCCUCCUUGGUGUGCCUCGUCAUUCCACAGUGAGUGCAAACGAGCUUGGAUUUUUCCUUUGUUUUCGAUGAUGAUAUGCCGGGGCCUCUGCCGCCGGUGGUGCCGACAGCGUGUGGUGGUCGGCCUUGUGUUCCAGAUUGGUAGCGGGAGAAGGCGAGUCCAGCCCCUAUAUCUCCCGAUGAUGAGCCUCUAUUUUCGGUAGAGUUGGUUGCCGGCUGCAGGAUCUGUAGCCGGGCGGCCUCUCGUCUUACUUUUGAAAAAGCCGAUUCGGCUGAGGGAAUGGGAGUCUCUUUGAGGAUGUCUCGCCGGAUGUUAUCGUAUUUCCGAUCCAACCCAGAGAGGAAUUGAUAGAGUCUCCGGUUCUCGAUCAAUUUCCGGUAUUUAUUGAUUCCUUCUUCACAACAUCCGAGAGGGUUUGGCUCCCUUCGAUCGAUGGUGAGCCAAAUCGCCUGCAGUUCGUUCCAAUAAUCCUCCAGAUAGUCGGGAUCCGUUGUUUUUGGAGGUGGUGGUCGGCCGGUGAUGUGGCUGGAUUUCCCUCUACUCCCUAUGGCCACCUUCAUGAGACGAGCCCAUAGGGCGUAGUUAUUGCCAUCAAGCUUGAUUCCCAGCGAGAUGGUGUUUGAGUUUUGCACUAAAUUUGCAAUCUGUAGUGAUAAUUCUUGUGAGGCUGUUGUUUUUGGAUCGGUAAUUUGGGUUUCUUCUGACAUGUUUUGUUUUGUGGUUUGUUUUCAGGAGAAACAGCGUGAGAUAAGAACAGGUUUGAUCGAAAAAAAAGGUUUGAGUAAGGGAUUUGGAAACUAUGAUGAUAAUUUUCUGAGUUUCAAGGAUUUAACCUUGCUCUGAUACCAUGUUAAAAAACAUGUUAUCAUCAUAGAAGAGAGAAUUUGUUUCUUGAAUAUUGUUCUUGUAUUUCUUUUUCUUGAUAUUUCCUGCUGAUACAAUCAUCCCCUUUUAUAGUGUUUAGAAAGGGAGCUGAUAUUCUACAACAUCAUGAGGAACCCUACAACAUCAUGAGGAUUCCUACAACA